rnacentral:rRNA from 1 species
CGCGUAGGUGGUUUGGUAAGUCAGAAGUGAAAGCCCUCGGCUUAACCGGGGAACUGCUUUUGAAACUGCCAUGCUAGAGUACGGGAGAGGGAGGUAGAAUUCCUGGUGUAGCGGUGAAAUGCGUAGAUAUCAGGAAGAAUACCGGCGGCGAAGGCGGCCUCCUGGCCCGAUACUGACACUGAGGCGCGAAAGCGUGGGGAGCGAACA